GCCAAGUGUUCCCUGCCAGUUCUGCAUUACCUGAGACGGAAGUGCUCAAGCCCUCUUCCACCGGUGCCACCAGAUCUGGAGGAAAGCCAGAUAUCAACUACUAAAGGCCGCAUCUAGGAACAAGACGGCUGUGGACCGGUGAUGGAUUUCAGCUUCCUCGUACCAGCCGGGGCAAAGAGUAUGGCUGUCUGCUCAAGAUAUUCCUCUCAGAGUAGAGUCACAUGACUUCCUGUCAAGUUUCCCUCCUGUGUGGUUACCUGCCCCGCCCUAAAGUGUUGCACCUGUGUCUCAUUGUCUGCCCUCUACCAGUGUAUUUAGUCUGUGUGCUCCCUGCUUUCUGUGCCAGUUCAUCUCUUUUGUCAAGCGAUCCAACAUUUAUAUUCUGAUUCCCAGUGGUUUUGACUUUUGAUUGGAUUUUUGGAUUUUGCCUCUGCCUUGCCCUUUUUGACUUGUUUGCCUUCUCUGCCUGACUUCCUUGUACAAAACCUCUACUUGUGGAUUAAAGACUGACUUUUGGA